UACGUAGGGUGCGAGCGUUGUCCGGAAUUACUGGGCGUAAAGAGCUCGUAGGUGGUUUGUCGCGUUGUCCGUGAAAACUCACAGCUUAACUGUGGGCGUGCGGGCGAUACGGGCAGACGUGGAGUACUGCAGGGGAGACUGGAAUUCAUGGUGUAGCAGUGAAAUGCGUAGAGAUCAUGAGGAAGACCAGUGGCGAAGGCGGGUCUCUGGACAGUUCCGAUGACACUGAGGCACGAAGGCCAGGGGAGCAAACGGG
rnacentral:rRNA from 1 species